ACCCCUUUAGUAUAUAGUACAAGUGACUUCCACUCACUAAGUCUUAGCACCAAUCUAAGAAGGAGUA
rnacentral:tRNA from 1 species